AUGGACAUCUCUCGACUUAACUAUGAUGUCAUUACUAUCAUUCCUAAAGUCAAAGGGGCAGAAUUAAUCUCGCAAUUUCCUCCUAUUGCUCUUAUUAAUAACUUCGCUAAACUACCUGCUAAAGGGUUCCCCACUCGUCUUUCCCCCAUUGCUCACCGUACCAUCAGCCCUUUUCAAUCCACCUUUAUCAAAGGUCAAAUCAUCUUGGAUGGGAUGCUUUGUUUAUAUGAAAUUGUGCAUGACCUUAAAAUUCGUAAGUCUAAGGCCAUGAUCCUAAAGCUUGAUUUUGAGAAGGCCUAUGACUCGGUGAGCUGGCCCUUUCUAAGAAAGGUUCUCCUGGCUAAAGGGUUUGAUGGAUCAUGUGUCCACAGAAUCAUGCAGAUGGUCUCGGGGGGCCACACUGCCAUUUCUGUCAGUGGCCAAAUUAGUAAGUUUUUUGUCAAUGGUAGGGGCCUAAGACAAGGUGAUCCUGCCUCUCCCAUCUUGUUUAAUUUCGUUGCAGACGCCUUAUCUCGUAUUCUUUUCAGAGCAGCUAAUCAUGGGCAUAUUUCUCCGGUCAUCUCUCAUCUUAUUCCUGAAGGGGUUACUCAUCUACAGUAUGCGGACAACACAAUCAUAAUGAUCGAUUUAUAUGAUUCUUGCCUUGCUAACCUAAAAAUUCAUCCUCCUAUGCUUUGA
rnacentral:rRNA from 1 species